CUCGGACGCUGCCCAGCCCCAAUGACCCCACACCGAAGGGGCGGCUCCAGUCAGAUGACCCGGAUGCCCCGAUGCUCCGCAGCGUGGGUCACAAUGCGGCCCCUUCCUUCCCCGGAAGCCCCUUCCCCUUCCCGGGGGUCCUCAUCCUCCUCCUCCUCCUCACCACGCUAAGGCUGCUUCCGCCGUUGGGGCCGUGAGCGGGGCCGGCCCUUCCUUUGGCCAAAGACUGACCCUCACGUCACGUCACGGGAGGAACACGGACCCUUCCCUCCGGCGCUAGAGUCCGGCCGCGGACUUCUUACUGGACGCUUGACCUCCAUGAGGAUGAAUAUGGACAACGUCUAAUGGAUUUGUGUACGGUGCAGAUAAUUUAUUGGACACUCCAGUGCGGCCAACUGUUGGGAAGGCUCGGCUUGUGCUCUUCCGGCCGCGGCGGAAAAGGGGUUGGACUGGAUGGCCUUUAGAGGUCCCUUUAGGAUUCUCUCUCUCUUCUCUUGAGGGUUUCUAACCAGAGGCAGCAUGGCCAUCUGUCAGGAGGGAUUAGAUAGGCAGAAGAAGGUUGGACUGGAUGCCCUUUAGGGUUCCUAUCUAUCUAUGUAUCCAUUUAUUAUGCCUUCUUUGGGUCUUUUCUAUCUAUCUCUCUAGUAUGGCAGAUGAGGGUUGGACUAGAUGCCCUUUAGGGUUCCCUUCCGACUCUAGGAUCCUAGCUAUCUUCCUCUUCAGGCCUUUAAAUUGAUAGCUGGAUGGCCAUCUGUCGGGAGGGAUCGAAUGGUGUAGCUGAACUGGAUGGCCCUUGGAGGUCCCACUCUGGGAUUGUAUCUAUCUAUCAUCUAUCUAUAUCUAUCUAUCUAUCUAUCUAUCUAUCUAUCUAUCUAUCUUCCCUGGUGGAUUAGAAGCCAUGGCUGGAUGGACAUCUGUCGGGAGGGAUCGAAUGGUGUAGCUGAACUGGAUGGCCCUUGGAAGUCCCACUCUGGGAUUCUAUCUAUCGAUCUAUAUCUAUAUCUAAUCUAUCUAUCUAUAUCUAUCUAUCUUCCUUCCCUGGUAGAUUAGAAGCCAACCCUGGGUGGACAUCUGUCGGGAGGGAUUGGAUUGUGUCUCCAUCCAUAGCAGAAGGGGGUUGGACUGGAUGGCCCUUGGAGAUCCCACUCUAGGAUUCUAUCUCCUUCCCUGGUGGAUUUGAAGCCAAGGCUGGAUGGCCAUCUGUCGGGAGGGAUCGGAUUGUGUCUCCAUCCAUAGCAGAAGGGUGUUGGACUGGAUGGCCCUUGGAGAUCCCACUCUAGGAUUCUAUCUCCUUCCCUGGCGGAUCUGAAGCCAAGGCUGGAUGGCCAUCUGUCGGGAGGGAUUGAAUGGUGUCUUCAUCCACAGUAGAAGUAGGUUGGACUGGAUGGCCCCGGGAGAUCCCACUCUAGGAUUGUAUCUCUAUGUAUCUCCUUCCGUGGUGGAUUUGAAGCCAAGCCUGGAUGGACAUCUGUCGGGAGGGAUCGGAUUGUGUCUUCCUUCCAGAUCUAAGAUUCUGUGACCCUCUUGGACCCUAAGAAACAGGAUUCAUCUCAUUCCGACCUGGAACCAAAGACAGCCUUGACUCCCGGUCCGGGUUGAUCAAGAACCGCCUUUUGAGCCAGAGCAUCAAAGGGACAAAGUGUUUGUCCGCGUUUGCAUUCAUUGCUAUGGAAUUGUUAUUUUUUUAAAAUAAUGUACAGAAUAAAUGUUCCCAAAUGGAACGCGUUUGCAUUUCUUUUGUGACGUUUGCGAUGCUCAAAAAGCAUUAUCGCAGGGCCGGGAUUUGUUUUUUCGUGUCAACUUGAGUUGCUUCUGGAGUGAGAGAAUUGGCCGUCUGCAAGGACGUUGCCCAGGGGACAUUGCCCGGAUGUUUUGAUGUUUUUACCAUCCUUGUGGGAGGCUUCUCUCAUGUCCCCGCAUGGAGCUGGAGCUGAC
rnacentral:lncRNA from 11 species